GCCCCUGAUGGCCGGUCCGCCUUCUUGGUGUGUACUUGCUCAUCGGGGGCUUACCUCCUGGUGAACUGUAAUGUCCUUUACUGGGUGUUGCAGGGAACCAGGACUUUUACUUUGAAAAAAUUAGAGUGUUUAAAGCAGGCUUCUGCCUGAAUACAUUAGCAUGGAAUAAUAGAAUAGGAC
rnacentral:rRNA from 1 species